GGAGCGCGGCUAUCUGCAGUCGAGCGCGGAAAUCGACGGAACCCUUCGGGGGGAAGUCGACGGAAUGAGCGGCGGACGGGUGAGUAACACGUAAAGAACCUGCCCUCAGGUCUGGGAUAACCACGAGAAAUCGGGGCUAAUACCGGAUGGGUCAUCGGACCGCAUGGUCCGAGGAUGAAAGGCGCUUCGGCGUCGCCUGGGGAUGGCUUUGCGGUGCAUUAGCUACUUGGUGGGGUAAUGGCCCACCAUGGCGACUACGCAUAGCCGACCUGUCCGGGUGAUCGGCCACACUGGGACUGAGACACGCCCCACACUCCUAACGGAGGCAGUUGUUGGGAAUCUCCCCUCUUGCCUCCAAAGUCUACAUGGAUCUCUACCCCGUCAACUACGAAGGCCUUAUCGCCCUAAAUUUCUGGAGUACGGCCAAACUACGCCCACCAGGUCCUUGGCCGCACCUUUAUGGCCCCCUGCGAAAACGCGCACGCCUCACCUCCGUGUAUUCCUCCCCGAUAACUCGUAUCGCGGCCAGUUUCCGCUCCGAAUUACUGCGGCGUACAUCCCCCCUGUUUGCCUCUCUUCUUCUUCCUUUUAAUCGGGCAAGACUCCCAAAUUCUCCCCGGAACCACUGGGCAUCCUAUCCACUUCUGAUGGGUUUUGUUGCCUUCUACUUCAAUCCAUUUGGAAUUUUUUUCUUCGUCUACGACGACUCCCCUAUAUUCAUCCCUGUUAAUUCACGCCCAUUUGGCCAAAUUCCCAACCAUCUUUAACGAAUAACCU
rnacentral:rRNA from 1 species